UAAAAAACCCUAAUUCUCCAUUUCCUUCGAUCAUCGCCCCUUCUCUUUAUCAUCGAGUUUUUUUUGUCUUCCCCCUUCAUCAUCCUCUGCAAACCCUUUCUUCGAUCAUCGCCCCUUUUCUUUAUCAUCGAGUUUCUUUUGUCUUCCCCCUUCAUCAUCCUCUGUAAACCCUAAAGGAAUCUACACCAGUUCUUCGAGGAUUACUGAUUCAAUCCGAUGGAAAUGGAUCUUACGAAUGUCGUUGUUAUUCUACAAGCAACAGAGUCCCAAUCAUGCUGAACGAAAACCCGCUGAAGAUAGCCUCAAUCAGGUGGGCAAGCUGACCAAGCUUGCCUGAGAAGAAAGAGCGCAGCUAAUGCAGCUUCUUGAGUUGGUGCCGAGCCAGAUUUAAAGGCGGUCAAUAGGGGUGUGAUGCUUAAGGUUGCAGGUUCGGUGGCUCUCAGUUGUGGGGAAUUACCAAAAGGUUCAUUUAGAGCCUUCAAAUACCCUUCAGUCACUGUUCCAUUCGACUAUAAAUCUUUUCCAACAGCAGCUGCAGGUUUGAGGGGUGCCUUUUAUACCAACAAAUUUAAAGGGAGGUCCACCAGAAGAUAACAUUUCCAUCAAUUGGUGAAGCCUUGCUAACGGAUGUGAAAGAGGAAAACGAACAGAGCCUUGCGAUUUGGAUAAAUAUUUUGCAGUCAGUCAAUCGAUACAAGAGUUUAUUGGAACUAGCAACUCCACAAAAACACUACUGCAAAGUCAAAACUAUAAUGUUUAUUUGGGACAUGUGAUGGUGGGCGACAACUCAAUUUAAAGUGGCAAGAGGGAAGAGGCGAUCUACAGAUGGCUUCUCUUAAUUCGUUUCAGUAAAGAUGGGACCCGGGACUACUGGGAAUGUGUGUUGGGGAAAAGCGUAAGUUGAAGAUUUCUGCAAGUAUGGGUUAUGGGAAUCAGGGUUCACCUCCUACUAUCGCAGGUGGGCAAAAUCAUUCGGGCUAAAAUCCGCUAUCGUAAAGCAGGAGGAGCCGGUUGACAAUCUCUUCGUGUCUUGCCACUUCGCCUUAAGGUGAUUGGGAUCGGGUUGCAAGCUGUUGCUGUCUAACUGGGUUGUAUAUGUUUGAAAGCAAAGAUUUGGUCGAAUAUCAUUGCCAUGCGAGUGGGUCGACGAAAUGAAAAAAGUGGUGUACACUAUAAUGCAGACUGGAAUGUGGAGUAUAUCACGUUGUCAAAACAACUUAGCAUUCAACCAGAAGAAUCCAAAUCUGGUGAGUGCUGUAGAGGAUCUAAAUUGUUGUGAAUUUGAUUAUUUGUUUAUAUUUUUUGUAUCUGGGGUGAGGGAUAAUAUGUUGUCCCAAAUUUUAUUCAUAUAAAUUUGAAGUCAUUUGCGUGGCUUUUCUCAAUGAGGGGAGUUCCAUACUACCGCCCACUAAUUUUGAUAGUUUUAUGACCCAGUAUUACUUGAUAUAUGCACAUGGCAUAUUAUUUUAUGUAUCUCAUUAUUUUCUUUUGUUGAAUUUGGUCUUUUAGAUUCUUUUAUAUUUGUAUAUGUUUCUAUUUAAUAGAUUAGUGGUUCACAUGUAAUAAUCUAUCAUCACCUCUUUGUUUCUAUAUGUAAAUUUUCUUAUCUAC
rnacentral:lncRNA from 1 species